rnacentral:rRNA from 1 species
GGCCUAACACAUGCAAGUCGAACGGUAACAGGAAACAGCUUGCUGUUUCGCUGACGAGUGGCGGACGGGUGAGUAAUGUCUGGGAAACUGCCUGAUGGAGGGGGAUAACUACUGGAAACGGUAGCUAAUACCGCAUAACGUCGCAAGACCAAAGAGGGGGACCUUCGGGCCUCUUGCCAUCAGAUGUGCCCAGAUGGGAUUAGCUAGUAGGUGGGGUAACGGCUCACCUAGGCGACGAUCCCUAGCUGGUCUGAGAGGAUGACCAGCCACACUGAAACUGAGACACGGUCCAGACUCCUACGGGAGGCAGCAGUGGGGAAUAUUGCACAAUGGGCGCAAGCCUGAUGCAGCCAUGCCGCGUGUAUGAAGAAGGCCUUCGGGUUGUAAAGUAC